rnacentral:rRNA from 1 species
GUGGGGAAUUUUGGACAAUGGGCGCAAGCCUGAUCCAGCAAUGCCGCGUGCAGGAAGAAGGCCUUCGGGUUGUAAACUGCUUUUGUACGGAACGAAACGGUCCUGGUUAAUACCCGGGGCUAAUGACGGUACCGUAAGAAUAGGCACCGGCUAACUACGUGCCAGCAGCCGCGGUAAUACGUAGGGUGCAAGCGUUAAUCGGAAUUACUGGGCGUAAAGCGUGCGCAGGCGGUGCUGUAAAACAGUCGUGAAAUCCCCGGGCUUAACCUGGUAAUUGCUCGUGUGACUGCAGUGCUGGAGUGCGGCAGAGGGGGAUAGAAUUUCGAGUGUAGCAGUGAAAUGCGUAGCUAUGCGGAGGAACACCGAUGGCGAAGGCAAUCCCCUGGGCCUGCACUGACGCUCAUGCACGAAAGCGUGGGGAGCAAACAGGAUUAGAAACCCUUGUAGUCC